UAGCUACAGGCUUAACACAUGCAAGUCGAGGGGAAACGGCAUUUAGUGCUUGCACGAAAUGGACGUCGACCGGCGCACGGGUGAGUAACGCGUAUCCAACCUUCCCAUAACUAAGGGAUAACCUGCCGAAAGGCAGACUAAUACCUUAUGUAAUCCUUUGAUGGCAUCAGAUAAGGAUAAAAGAUUUAUCGGUUAUGGAUGGGGAUGCGUCUGAUUAGCUUGUUGGCGGGGUAACGGCCCACCAAGGCAACGAUCAGUAGGGGUUCUGAGAGGAAGGUCCCCCACAUUGGAACUGAGACACGGUCCAAACUCCUACGGGAGGCAGCAGUGAGGAAUAUUGGUCAAUGGACGGAAGUCUGAACCAGCCAAGUAGCGUGCAGGAUGACGGCCCUAUGGGUUGUAAACUGCUUUUGUAUGGGGAUAAAGUCAAUCACGUGUGAUUGUUUGCAGGUACCAUACGAAUAAGGACCGGCUAAUUCCGUGCCAGCAGCCGCGGUAAUACGGAAGGUUCGGGCGUUAUCCGGAUUUAUUGGGUUUAAAGGGAGCGUAGGCCGGAGAUUAAGUGUGUUGUGAAAUGUAGACGCUCAACGUCUGACUUGCAGCGCAUACUGGUUUCCUUGAGUACGCACAACGUUGGCGGAAUUCGUCGUGUAGCGGUGAAAUGCUUAGAUAUGACGAAGAACUCCGAUUGCGAAGGCAGCUGACGGGAGCGCAACUGACGCUGAAGCUCGAAGGUGCGAGUAUCGAACAGGAUUAGAUACCCUGGUAGUCCGCACAGUAAACGAUGGAUGCCCGCUGUUGGUACCUGGUAUCAGCGGCUAAGCGAAAGCAUUAAGCAUCCCACCUGGGGAGUACGCCGGCAACGGUGAAACUCAAAGGAAUUGACGGGGGCCCGCACAAGCGGAGGAACAUGUG
rnacentral:rRNA from 1 species